GUGUGCAGAGACACUGAGGUGGGGUGGAUCCAUGGAGGAGGCGUGCAGAGACACUGAGGUGGGUGGAUCCAUGGAGGAGGCAGAGACACUGAGGUGGGGUGGAUCCAUGGAGGAGGCAGAGACACUGAGGUGGUGUGGAUCCAUGGAGGAGGCAGAGACACUGAGGUGGGGUGGAUCCAUGGAGGAGGCAGAGACACUGAGGUGGGGUGGAUCCAUGGAGGAGGCAGAGACACUGAGGUGGGUGGAUCCAUGGAGGAGGCAGAGACACUGAGGUGGUGUGGAUCCAUGGAGGAGGCAGAGACACUGAGGUGGGUGGAUCCAUGGAGGAGGCAGAGACACUGAGGUGGGGUGGAUCCAUGGAGGAGGCAGAGACACUGAGGUGGGAUGGAUCCAUGGAGGAGGCAGAGACACUGAGGUGGGGUGGAUCCAUGGAGGAGGCAGAGACACCGAGGUGGGGUGAAUCCAUGGAGGAGGCAGAGACACUGAGGUGGAUCCAUGGAGGAGGCAGAGACACCGAGGUGGGGUGGAUCCAUGGAGGAGGCGUGCAGAGACACUGAGGUGGGUGGAUCCAUGGAGGAGGCAGAGACACUGAGGUGGGAUGGAUCCAUGGAGGAGGCAGAGACACUGAGGUGGGGUGGAUCCAUGGAGGAGGCAGAGACACCGAGGUGGGGUGGAUCCAUGGAGGAGGCAGAGACACUGAGGUGGAUCCAUGGAGGAGGCAGAGACACCGAGGUGGGUGGAUCCAUGGAGGAGGCAGAGACACUGAGGUGGUGUGGAUCCAUGGAGGAGGCAGAGACACUGAGGUGGGGUGGAUCCAUGGAGGAGGCAGAGACACUGAGGUGGGUGGAUCCAUGGAGGAGGCA
ensembl:lncRNA